GACUAUCACUCUUUAACAGAGUCACUGAAUGAGAGAGGCUAUAGAGAAAACAAAUUGAAAGCGAAUUUAGAGUGCUAUAAAACAACAAUAGAAACCUCAUUAAGAAUGUGCCCAGUGUACAAACUUGACCCAUCUCAGGAACCAGAAAUUGACCUCUCUAUCCGCAAGUCAAAUCGCAACAUGACAA